GGGGGGGGGGCGCACCAGCUACAUUUUUUUUUUAUUUUUUAAAUUUAUUUUCUGCAUUUCGAGCUUCUGAACCACAGACAUAUGAUACAAUAAAUAUAUAUAGGUCUUAGUUCUGAACUCACAUCUCCUUAUAAUGAGAAAAUCUGAAGUCAAAAAAGGUAAAGGGUAAGAUCACAGACCUACAUAAUCUAGAUUGUCGAAACAUGACAUUUUUUGUUAUCUCCAUGGAAACUAAAAGGCAAUAAACUUUUGAUUAUAUCAUAGAUUAGAUUUGAGUGAAAAAUUUCCGAAGUUCUGUGAUUAAUAGAUCUAGCCUCUUCUAGAUCUAUUUAACUAUUUAAAAUCCGCGAAAUGGGAUUGUAAUAUUUCUAAACAUUAAAGACUAAAGAUCAUUUUUUUUUCUGAAAAUGAAGACCGAUUUCCAAGAUUUAGAAAUUAGAUAGAGAUCUACAGAUAUAGAAUAUAGAUCUAGAUAGAAUAGUUCUAGAUGAUAUUACUAUUACUAGAGUCUAGAUCUAGAUUAUAUAUUACAAGCUUAAUAGGAAAGCCUUGAUGCUGAAACCAAGAAGCACCAGCAUACCACAUGCUGGCUAAAUGAUCUUCAAUCUUGGCAUUGGCAAUGAGAUGUGAAAUAAAUAAACUAUGAAAUAAAAAAAAAAGUACAAUCAUUAAAUUAAAUCAUCUAAUGUGAAUAAGCAUUUGUAGCAUGUGCAGGGGCGGACUGGCUAUACGGGCAAAUGCCCAGUGGGCCGGUAUCCAAAUGGGCUGGUAGGACUACAAUUUGAAAAAAUUAAAAAACACCAUUCAUGAAAUGUACAAAUUAUAUUUGUUUCUAUACUGCAUUCUUGGAGCUGCUGUUUAUAAGAACUCAGUUAUGUCUUCAUUUCAAAGUGCACAUUUAUUUAAAGGCAUUGAAGGAGUUGUGAAUGGAAUGAUUAUGUUUUAUGUAUUAGGUAUGUUCUGGGCCGAGUGCAAACAGUUAUGGGAGGAAGGUGUAAAAGGUUACUUCUCUCAGAUGUGGAACUACAUGGACAUGUUGGCUUUGUAUACUGCUGGCUACUCCACCGAAGGUGUGAUCUAUACAAAAACCAAUGGAUACUUUUGCUGACAACCAACUGAUUCACAUUGAAGGAUGUUGGCAAGUUCACCUUCAUCUAUUUCAGUCAUGAUUGCCUUUAUAUGUGGACAAAUAAGCCUAUACAGUAUUUCCAAGAAUGAGAACUUUGCAGGGUAGAGUCAUUUGACUUACAAGCCUCUUAGAGACCACUGGGACAUUGUUCUGGGCUGCCUUUGGUAUGGGGAACUCUCAGGCACCAGCUAUUAAAGAAGAAACAAAUAGCAGUCAAGUUAAUGGUGACUCAGAGAUAAGAGACAGUGUGCUGCUGAAAGUCAUUGAGGUGGUUGGCUACAUUUUGUAUGGAGUUUACAUUCUUGAUGCUGUCGUGGUCCUGAUCAACUUGUUCAUUGCUAUGAUGAAUUUGAAGACAUUUAGAAUGCCCAAAAGAUUAGUCAGCUAAGGAGCCUAAUGUUAGCCUGUUUACAAAUAUGAGAUCUUCCUUGACUACACAAGUACCUUACAGAAGAAGGCUACUCACUUGUGUUUGGAUAUGUCAGCUGUUUUGUCCCUGUGGCCCUUUUCAAGCAUGACAGAUACUAUUCUAAGCAGCUUUUUUCUCUGGAAAUUUUUCAACCACGGAAGCUGUGAGGGAUAUCUGAAAUCCAUUGCUUACUUGUCUAGAAAGACUUCCAUCCAUUGAGUGAUAAAAGAUUAAGCGUACACAACUUUUAGUAGUCACCACAUAACACUUAACAUUUUGCUGCUCAAGACAAUACUGUUCAUGAAUGGUUUAUUUUUCUUUAUGCUGAGAGUGUCCAAGAAGGAUAAGGUCAAAGGUUAAUUGGACAAACAAGUUAAUAAACUUUGUCUUUGAAUCUGAAAUUGUAGAACUUGUAGAGAAAAAAAAACAACUAAGUGUUGUUUUUUUUUAAUUUACCAGGCACCAAGUACCUACUAUUCAUUUACUUUGACUGUUGACUUUAAGUUAGAAAUUAAGGAAAGAUUUCUUUGAGCUAUAUUUGUCAAUGACCAUAGGCAUUAAGAGAGUUGACACCUCAUUUUACUUUUCAACAAGAUGAUGUCUUAAAGAAAUUAAGAGCUUUUGAUGGAAUUCUGUGGUUGAAUAACAUAAGGAAUAAUCACAGGAUUCCAUCAAAAUCAUUGCAAUUUGAACAUUGUUGGUAGUGUCAAUGUUAAGUUUUUUAGUUCUUGGUGUUACUACAUUAUUCAUUUUCUAGUGACCAGGCAGUGUUUUAUACUUGAAUGAAUAUCUGUUGUAAGAGGUUUAAGGUAUACAACUCUAUAAUAUCUUUGACAAUAAAAUAUUUUGAUCAAGUUUAUAUUUUUGGAACAAUAUGCUAAUGUGUUAAAUGUACAUUUUCUUUUUUUUUUGGAAUAACAACUGAUAUUUAGUUUUAUCCCUUUGUAUCUUUCUACAGUAGAUGCACUGUCAUACUAAAUAAAAAUUAAAAAAAAUUAUAAUUUCUAAUCAAAUUGUCUCCCUUUUAAAAUCAAAUAUCUAAAUGAAUCAUGCUACUUUGAUUCUACACAAUCUACAGGACUACCAAUGUACAUUAGUUUUGAACAAAAAGUUGCUAACUUUAAAUAAUUGAUUAACUCAUUUUGAUAUUUAUGUAUACCUUGUAAUAAAAGUGGCAUUCAUUUUACAAUUUCAUUUUUUUUUUAUUGUAACUGGUCUGUGUUAAUUUCUUUUUUUUUUCAAAUUACUUUGUAUUGCUUAUAUGGGGAAAUGGUAUUUCUGGUGUUUCUUUGCUCAGCAAAAACAAAUCAGGAUUUGAACUCAAGCCCCCUUGACAGUGGUUUAUGCCAGAUAUCCAGCAUUUCAUGCAGUUUGUAUGCCAAAUUUGAUACUCACAGUGCCCCAAUGCAGGUAGAAAGAGGAAACCUUGCCUCAUUAAUGUUUGCUGCUCCAGACUUGCUUCUCUCUAUCUCAACUGAUCUAGGAAGCACUACAGCUGGGUUUCAGUCCACUGCAUUGGCUAGAGAGGAUUUCAGUCUCUCAGGCUGCAACUUAAAUGAAGUCUGAUGUGAUUUUAUUCUUUAAAAGUUGUAUGGAUGUCUUUAAGCUACAUAACUUAUCCUAGUCCAAUGUGUUGAUUGACAUAGUUACCAGGUACUGGUACUAAAAAAAUUGCCACUUUUAUCCUCCCCUUCCAGCAACCCUUAGAUCUAGUUUUUCUAAAUUUCUAGUAGUUUAAUAGUGCUUUUCCAUAUGUCAUUAAAAAGUUAUGUUAAAAGUUAA